GACGAACGCUGGCGGCGUGCUUAACACAUGCAAGUCGAACGGAAAGGCCCUGCUUUUGUGGGGUGCUCGAGUGGCGAACGGGUGAGUAACACGUGAGUAACCUGCCCUUGACUUUGGGAUAACUUCAGGAAACUGGGGCUAAUACCGUAUAGGAGCUCCUGCUGCAUGGUGGGGGUUGGAAAGUUUCGGCGGUUGGGGAUGGACUCGCGGCUUAUCAGCUUGUUGGUGGGGUAGUGGCUUACCAAGGCUUUGACGGGUAGCCGGCCUGCGAGGGUGACCGGCCACAAUGGGACUGAGAUACGGCCCAGAGUCCAACGGGAGGCAGCAGUGGGGAAUAUUGCACAAUGGGCGGAAGCCUGAUGCAGCAACGCCGCGUGCGGGAUGACGGCCUUCGGGUUGUAAACCGCUUUCGCCUGUGACGAAGCGUGAGUGACGGUAAUGGGUAAAGAAGCACCGGCUAACUACGUG
rnacentral:rRNA from 1 species